AUGAUCCAUCACUGUAGGAUGGGGCAUGUAUCUUUUGAUAAGAUGAGUAGAAUAUUUCCAGAUCUUAUGUGUGGAAUAGGCAAGGGCAAGUUGACAUGUGAUGCUUGCGAAUAUGCAAAACACACACGAGCCUCAUAUGUGAGUAAGGGGCUUAGGAGCAUAUCUCCUUUUAUGCUUAUUCAUUCGGAUGUAUGGACGAGCCCGGUAGUGUCAAUGAAUGGAAAGAAGUAUUUUGCUACCUUUAUUGACUGCUAUUCUCGUAUGACUUGGAUUUACUUGAUGCGUCACAAUGAUGAGGUGUUUAGCUGUUUUCAGAACUUCCAUGCUCUUGUAAAGAACCAGUUUCAGGUACAGGUCAAGGUGCUCAUGACUGACAAUGGCACAGAGUAUGUGAACAACAAUUUUGGGGCUUUCAUGGCUGACCAAGGGAUUCUUCAUCAAACUUCAUGCCCGGACACCCCACCUCAGAAUGGAGUGGCCGAAAGGAAAAAUCGUCAUAUUCUUGAGGUUGCUCGGUCGUUGAUGUUUACCAUGAAUGUGCCUAAAUUCUUAUGGGAUGAAGCAGUUAUGACAGCCACAUACCUGAUCAACCGGACACCUUCUAGGAUACUAGGUAUGAAAUCUCCAUCUGAGUUGCUCGUUGGAGAUAAUAAGUUUGUUGUUUCCCCCAAGCUGUUUGGCAGUACCUGCUUUGUUCGUGAUCAUCGACCAUCUGUUGGAAAGCUUGAUCCUCGAGCUGUGAAGUGUGUCUUUCUGGGAUACUCUUCUAGCCAGCAGGGGUAUAAAUGUUGGUGUCCCUCUGAAAAACGCAGAGCUUGA
rnacentral:rRNA from 1 species